rnacentral:rRNA from 1 species
CUGGGAGGACCAUCUCCUAAGGCUAAAUACUCUCUAGUGACCGAUAGUGAACCAGUACCGUGAGGGAAAGGUGAAAAGCACCCCGGAAGGGGAGUGAAAUAGAACCUGAAACCGUGUGCUUACAAGUAGUCAGAGCCCGUUAAUGGGUGAUGGCGUGCCUUUUGUAGAAUGAACCGGCGAGUUACGAUUUGAUGCAAGGUUAAGCAGUAAAUGUGGAGCCGUAGCGAAAGCGAGUCUGAAUAGGGCGUUUAGUAUUUGGUCGUAGACCCGAAACCAGGUGAUCUACCCUUGGUCAGGUUGAAGUUCAGGUAACACUGAAUGGAGGACCGAACCGACUUACGUUGAAAAGUGAGCGGAUGAACUGAGGGUAGCGGAGAAAUUCCAAUCGAACCUGGAGAUAGCUGGUUCUCUCCGAAAUAGCU